rnacentral:rRNA from 1 species
GAUGAACGCUAGCGACAGGCCUAACACAUGCAAGUCGAGGGGCAGCACGAAGUAAGCUUGCUUACUUUGGUGGCGACCGGCGCACGGGUGCGUAACAGGUGUGCAAUCUGUCCAUAAUCGGGGAAUAGCCCAGCGAAAGUUGGAUUAAUGCUCCAUGUGAGUUUUAGAGGCACCUCUUUAACUUGAAACGCAAGGAUUAUGGGUGAGCACGCUUCUGAUUAGGUAGUUGGUAAGGUAACGGCUCACCAAGCCGACGAUGGAUAGGGGAGCUGAGAGGCUCGACCCCCCACACUGGGACUGAGACACGGCCCAG